UAUGGUCACAUCAUGUUGAAACAUCAGUUCCCAUAUGAUCACUGAAGUUAAGCAAUGUUGAGCCUGGUCAGUACCUAAAUGAGUGACUGCUUGGGAAUACCAGAUGCUGUAAG
rnacentral:rRNA from 1 species